rnacentral:rRNA from 1 species
AUUGAACGCUGGCGGCAGGCUUAACACAUGCAAGUCGAACGAGUGGCGGACGGGUGAGUAAUGCUUGGGAAUCUCGCUUAUGGAGGGGGAUAACUACGGGAAACUUUCUCUAAUACCGCGUACCAUAGGAUGAGCCCACGUGUGAUUAGGUAGUUGGUGAGGUAAAGGCUCACCAAGCCGACGAUCUCUAGCUGGUCUGAGAGGACGACAAGCAACACUGGGACUGAGACACGGCCCAGACUCCUACGGGAGGCAGCAGUGGGGAAUAUUGCGCAAUGGGGGCAACCUGACGCAGCCAUGCCGCGUGAAUGAAGAAGGCCUUCGGGUUGUAAAGUGCUUUCGGUAGAGAGGCGUUAACUACAGAAGAAGCACCGGCUAACUCCGUGCCAGCAGCCGCGGUAAUAC